UACGUAGGUGGCAAGCGUUAUCCGGAUUUACUGGGUGUAAAGGGCGUGUAGGCGGGAAAGCAAGUCAGAUGUGAAAACUAUGGGCUCAACCUGUGGCCUGCAUUUGAAACUGUUUUUCUUGAGUACUGGAGAGGCAGACGGAAUUCCUAGUGUAGCGGUGAAAUGCGUAGAUAUUAGGAGGAACAUCAGUGGCGAAGGCGGUCUGCUGGACAGCAACUGACGCUGAGGCGCGAAAGCGUGGGGAGCAAACAGG
rnacentral:rRNA from 1 species